UUGUUGCUGGCCCUUUCGGGGGCAUGUGCACACCCAUCAUCCUCAUCUCUCCACCUGUGCACCUCUUGUAGAUUUGGAUUGACUUUCCGAGGCAACUCGGUCGGGAGGACUUGCUGGCAUUAGCUGGCUUUCCUUGCAUUUCCAAGUCUAUGUUUUUCAUAUACCCCAUUGAAUGUAACAGAAUGUAACAUAUUGGGCCUUUGUGCCUAUAAAAACUUAUACAACUUUCAGCAACGGAUCUCUUGGCUCUCGCAUCGAUGAAGAACGCAGCGAAAUGCGAUAAGUAAUGUGAAUUGCAGAAUUCAGUGAAUCAUCGAAUCUUUGAACGCACCUUGCGCUCCUUGGUAUUCCGAGGAGCAUGCCUGUUUGAGUGUCAUUAAAUUCUCAACUAUUAUCAGCUUUUGUUGAUAAUGGCUUGGAUAUGGGGGUUUACUUUGCUGGCUUCUUCACAGAUUGUCAGCUCCCCUUAAAUGCAUUAGCCGGUGCCCCGCGUGGACUGUCUAUUGGUGUGAUAAUUAUCUACGCCGUGGACAUCUACAAUCAUA
rnacentral:rRNA from 1 species